rnacentral:sRNA from 1 species
CCUGAUUUAAAAAUCCUUAAACACUCUAUUGCUAUUAGGUGCCUAGUGCUUGAUAUGUGAAAGAUGAUCAGCACAUGUAAGAUUAAAGAAAUAAAAAGUAUUGUGUGUUUUUCCCCAGGAUGAAGAUCUUCUCCCAAGUAAAUAUUUUGAGGUUGACUUUCCAAUGAUCGUCACGAGAAAGCUGCACAGUAUCAAAUGGACACAUACUGGAUUCUAAGAGAUAUGCUGUUAUUGGAGCAGAUCUCCGAGACCUGUCUGAACU